rnacentral:siRNA from 1 species
CAAAGAAGCCAUCAUAGCACUCA